rnacentral:rRNA from 1 species
GAUGAACGCUGGCGGCGUGCCUAAUACAUGCAAGUCGAGCGAACGGACGAGAAGCUUGCUUCUCUGAUGUUAGCGGCGGACGGGUGAGUAACACGUGGAUAACCUACCUAUAAGACUGGGAUAACUUCGGGAAACCGGAGCUAAUACCGGAUAAUAUUUUGAACCGCAUGGUUCAAAAGUGAAAGACGGUCUUGCUGUCACUUAUAGAUGGAUCCGCGCUGCAUUAGCUAGUUGGUAAGGUAACGGCUUACCAAGGCAACGAUGCAUAGCCGACCUGAGCGGGUGAUCGGCCAGACGGGAACUGAGACACGGUACAGACUCCUACGGGAGGCAGCAGUAGGGAAUCUUCCGCAAUGGGCGAAAGCCUGACGGAGCAACGCCGCGUGAGUGAUGAAGGUCUUCGGAUCGUAAAACUCUGUUAUUAGGGAAGAACAUAUGUGUAAGUAACUGUGCACAUCUUGACGGUACCGAAUCAGAAAGCCACGGCUAACUACGUG